GAUGAACGCUGGCGGCGUGCCUAAUACAUGCAAGUCGAGCGAACAGACGAGGAGCUUGCUCCUCUGACGUUAGCGGCGGACGGGUGAGUAACACGUGGAUAACCUACCUAUAAGACUGGGAUAACUUCGGGAAACCGGAGCUAAUACCGGAUAAUAUAUUGAACCGCAUGGUUCAAUAGUGAAAGACGGUUUUGCUGUCACUUAUAGAUGGAUCCGCGCCGCAUUAGCUAGUUGGUAAGGUAACGGCUUACCAAGGCGACGAUGCGUAGCCGACCUGAGAGGGUGAUCGGGCACAAGGGAAGUGAGACACGGUCCAGACUCCUACGGGAGGCAGCAGUAGGGAAUCUUCCGCAAUGGGCGAAAGCGUGACGGAGCAACGCGGCGUGAGUGAUGAAGGUAUUCGGAUCGGAAAACUCUGUUAUUAGGGAAGAACAUAUGUGUAAGGAACUGUGCACAUCUUGACGGUACCGAAUCAGAAAGCCACGGCUAACUACGUG
rnacentral:rRNA from 1 species